rnacentral:tRNA from 1 species
GGUGUAGCGCCGGGAUUGAACGGAUAACUCUGAUGACGUUAACUACGAGGAUUUUAAACCUCCUACACCU